rnacentral:ncRNA from 2 species
CCAAUAGCGUAUAUUAAAGUUGUUGCAGUUAAAAAGCUCGUAGUUGAAUUUCGGGAUCAAUAUGUCGGUCGUGCCUUCGGUACGUACUGGUAUCAUUGGUUUCUCCUUUCUGACGAACCAUGAUGUCAUUAAUUUGGUGUUAUGGGGAGUUAGGACUGUUACUUUGAAAAAAUUAGAGUGUUUAAAGCAGGCUUUAGCUUGAAUACAUUAGCAUGGAAUAAUGAAAUAGGACGUUCGAACCUAUUUUGUUGGUUUCUAGGAUCAACGUAAUGAUUAAUAGGGAUAGUUGGGGGCAUUAGUAUUCAAUUGUCAGAGGUGAAAUUCUUGGAUUUAUUGAAGACUAACUACUGCGAAAGCAUUUGCCAAGGAUGUUUUCAUUAAUCAAGAACGAAAGUUAGGGGAUCGAAGACGAUCAGAUACCGUCGUAGUCUUAACCAUAAACUAUGCCGACUAGGGAUCGGAUGAUGUUAAUUUUUUAAUGACUCAUUCGGCGCCUUACG